rnacentral:tRNA from 1 species
GCCAAUGUAGCAUAACCUGGUUUUGCCAAAGACCUAAACUCUUUUUAUAGAAGUUCAAAUCUUCUCAUUCGCU